rnacentral:rRNA from 1 species
AGUGAACGCUGGCGGUAUGCCUUACACAUGCAAGUCGAACGGCAGCACAGUAGCUGGCUGCUGUUGCGGGUUGGCAGACGCGUGAGGAAGAGAUCUACAUAUGUCCUUAAGUUUUGGAGGGCGCUAAGAAAGCGGGAUUAAUACCGCAUACGCAUAAGACAUAAGAGUGGAAGCCGGUGAUCUUUGGAGCUUUCGGGUUUGCAGAUGGCGGAUUAGCUAGUUGGCGGGGUAAAGGCCUACCAAGGCGACGAUCAGUAGCUGGUCUGAGAGGAUGAGCAGCCACACUGGAACUGAGACACGGUCCAGACUCCUACGGGAGGCAGCAGUGGGGAAUUUUGGACAAUGGGCGCAAGCCUGAUCCAGCCAUGCCGCGUGUGUGAAGAAGGCCUUCGGGUUGUAAAGCCCUUUUGUUGGGAAAGAAAAGCUGCGGGUUAAUACCCUGCGGGGCUGACGGUACCCAAAGAAUAAGCACCGGCUAACUACGUG